CCCCAUUCUUCAAGAGACCUAACCACAAUGAGAGCCCUCCCCUUUUCAUAAGACCUAGCGCUGUUUCCUUCAAGAAAAAAAAAAACAGACACAAAGAACCGAACAGAGGCCUCUUCUUCUGGAUUCCUUCUUCUUCUCACACCCACAUACACUUCUCCCACACCUCAACCAUCACACUCACACAAAGAUGAAGGCUCACCCACUCACGUUUUGAACACACAUAGCUGAUAAGAAAGCUAGGAAAAUUAAAAUGAAGAUCUGAAAAUCGCAAAAGCUUGAAAAACAAAAGAAAACUGGGAUUUCGAAGAAGAGUUGGGGAGUAAUUGUCCGCUGAACUUUCGAACUCUUCCCUGGAUGUAUACAAGGCUGUUGAAUCUCAAAUUUAUGGGUGUUUGCUACGGUUCUGUGCUGGAAAUUAUUCGUUGCUGAUGUUGUUUGGCUAAGAGCUGAGCUUCCUAAUUCCAGUUAUUGCUUCUCCUUCAGAGUCAGAGAUCCAUUUUCUCCCAUUUGUUUGUUGUGACCAGGGCUGAGAGUGCUUGCAAUCCUGUAAGGUUUUUCGCAAUUUUGUCCACUCAGAGGUCUGGUAGUAGAUGGUUUGAAACAUUGCUGAACAACCAUAUGAAUAUAAGCUCUAGUGGGGAGAUUUUUUUGUUAAAGCCCGGAAAAGUAAUGCAUCGAUGAUUUUGGAAACAUUGGACAAACUCUAUAACCUAGAGUUUUUGACCAGCGCUUCCAAGAAUGAAUGCACAGCUGCAGUUGUACUGAAGUGAAUGCUUAAUCAGAUCCAGGUACAUCUUAUCAGUACCGGCACUAGUGCGCUGAGUUUGCUUUUGGAGACUUCAAGGUACACAUGCCCGCAUCCGCAGGCCUCGAAGUCCCCUUUUAUCCCGUUCUCCCUUAUCUCUUUAAACUUUUAUACACAGUGAUGUACAGAAUUGUUCAGCACUGUACUUAGAGCUUGUGACUUAUAUCUCACCAGGUUUGGAAGUUGUACGUAUUGAGUUACAUAUUUUAUUUAUGAGAUUGCCGAAAUUUUGAGA